rnacentral:rRNA from 1 species
UGGGCGUAAGGGCUCGCAGGCGGUUUCUUAAGUCUGAUGUGAAAGCCCCCGGCUCAACCGGGGAGGGUCAUUGGAAACUGGGAAACUUGAGUGCACAAGAGGAGAGUGGAAUUCCACGUGUAGCGGUGAAAUGCGUAGAGAUGUGGAGGAACACCAGUGGCGAAGGCGACUCUCUGGUCUGUAACUGACGCUGAGGAGCGAAAGCGUGGGGAGCGAACAGGAUUAGAUACCCUGGUAGUCCACGCCGUAAACGAUGAGUGCUAAGUGUUAGGGGGUUUCCGCCCCUUAGUGCUGCAGCUAACGCAUUAAGCACUCCGCCUGGGGAGUACGGUCGCAAGACUGAAACUCAAAGGAAUUGACGGGGGCCCGCACAAGCGGUGGAGCAUGUGGUUUAAUUCGAAGCAACGCGAAGAACCUUACCAGGUCUUGACAUCCUCUGACAACCCUAGAGAUAGGGCUUUCCCUUCGGGGACAGAGUGACAGGUGGUGCAUGGUUGUCGUCAGCUCGUGUCGUGAGAUGUUGGGUUAAGUCCCGCAACGAGCGCAACCCUUGAUCUUAGUUGCCAGCAU